UUCUGCCCUAUGAAUAUUUAAAUGGCUGCAGUAUACUGACUGUGCAAAGGUAGCAUAAUAAUUAGUCAUUUAAUUGUUGACUUGUAUGAAUGAAUACAUGAGAUAUAAAUUUUAUUAAUUUUAUUAUUUUAAUUUUAUUUUUAGGUAAAAAAGCUUAAUUGAUUUUUAGGGACGAUAAGACCCUAUAGAACUUUAUUAAUUUAUUAAGUUAAUUAAAUUUGGUAAUUUAUUUUAAUUAUUUUGUUAUAAUUUUUUUGGUUGGGGUGACAAGUAAAUUUUAACUUUACUUUUUUAAUUCAUUAUUUAUAUGUUUUUUUGAUCCAUUGUUUARAUAAGAAGAAAUAGUUACCUUAGGGAUAACAGCGUAAUUUUAGUGGGGAGUUCUUAUUUAUACUAAAGUUUGCGACCUCGAUGUUGAAUUAAGAUUAGUUCAGGGGGUAG
rnacentral:rRNA from 1 species